rnacentral:rRNA from 1 species
AACAGGAUUAGAUACCCUGGUAGUCCACGCUGUAAACGAUGUCGACUUGGAGGUUGUGCCCUUGAGGCGUGGCUUCCGGAGCUAACGCGUUAAGUCGACCGCCUGGGGAGUACGGCCGCAAGGUUAAAACUCAAAUGAAUUGGCGGGGGCCCGCACAAGCGGCGGAGCAUGUGGUUUAAUUCGAUGCAACGCGAAGAACCUUACCUACUCUUGACAUCCAGAGAAUUUGCUAGAGAUAGCUUAGUGCCUUCGGGAACUCUGAGACAGGUGCUGCAUGGCUGUCGUCAGCUCGUGUUGUGAAAUGUUGGGUCAAGUCCCGCAACGAGCGCAACCCUUAUCCUUUGUUGCCAGCACGUAAUGGUGGGAACUCAAAGGAGACUGCCGGUGAUAAACCGGAGGAGGGUGGGGAUGACGUCAAGUCAUCAUGGCCCUUACGAGUAGGGCUACACACGUGCUACAAUGGCAUAUACAAAGAGAAGCGAACUCGCGAGAGCAAGCGGACCCCAUAAAGUAUGUCGUAGUCCGGAUUGGAGUCUGCAACUCGACUCCAUGAAGUCGGAAUCGCUAGUAAUCGUAGAUCAGAAUGCUACGGUGAGUACGUUCCCGGGCCUUGUACACACCGCCCGUCACACCAUGGGAGUGGGUUGCAAAAGAAGUAGGUAGCUUAACCUUCGGGAGGGCGCUUACCACUUUGUGAUUCAUGACUGGGGUGAAGUCGUAACAAGGUAACC